UGGUUACUAUAAAAAUCCCAUUAUCGGAGAAGCUCGAACACUGACGAAGUCCGAAAGAAGUUCAGAGUAGAGUCAUCCGUGGCUGGAAGAAGUCUAGAAGGAAUUCGGAGAAUAGUCGAUCAUCGUAGAAAAUUAGCCGAUAGCGGAGUUCAAAGAGUAUUUGGAGCAGUCCGGUAGAUGAAUGGAGAAGUCAUUAUCAGAGAAGUCUGGAUGGUAAUAUGGAAGCUCGAUCGGUUGAGGGAGUUCAGAAAGACGUCA
rnacentral:lncRNA from 1 species